UUGCUCUGCAGCGGUAACUAAAUGACUCAGUAGCAGAAAAGCAACAAAUGAUCAGGAGAAUUGGGGGCUUACCCAGUGAGCGAAGCUUUGGCAAAAAUGUAAAGCCGUGCAGCACAAUGCAAGAGGAGGCCAAGGACUCCCUGCAAAACCUCAACUUCAAGCCUAAAACAGCCUGAAGGUUGAAAAACUGGACUGCUGGCUCCAGAUGAAGUCCACCCUUUCCCAACUGAUUCUUUCUGAAUAAUGCCCACCUGCACACUCAGAGGAUGGGGUGGGGCCAUGCAAGCUCCCUGCCGGGAACCCAGCCUCUUGAGCUCCUAUGUGGUGGGGCAGGAGCCAGUUCACAGGCUUCCCUCUCACUCUGCUGAGAGUUUUUCUCUUUUCCUUUUUUUUGCCCAAUAAAUUCCAUUUUUCUCACCCUU
rnacentral:lncRNA from 10 species